CGAAUCCUGAGGCGCUCAGGUCACAGGAUAUACUGGGAUUGAGAGGGUUCCUAAAAUCCGACUCUCGAGGACACGGCCCGUGGGAGAAUUGAACUCACAACCUUGGCACUACCUGGACUGUGCUCCAACUGACUGAGCCCUCUGCAUCCCAGGUGCUGGACUUGCCUCUGUGGAUGUGUGCUGAGCUCUCACUGCAGGGGACUGUCAGUUCUGACUGGCUCUUGAAGAAACUUGAAGAAGGAAUUUGG